GAUGAACGCUGGCGGCGUGCCUAAUACAUGCAAGUCGAACGAAACUUCUUUAUCACCGAGUGCUUGCACUCACCGAUAAAGAGUUGAGUGGCGAACGGGUGAGUAACACGUGGGCAACCUGCCCAAAAGAGGGGGAUAACACUUGGAAACAGGUGCUAAUACCGCAUAACCAUAGUUACCGCAUGGUAACUAUGUAAAAGGUGGCUAUACUACCGCUUUUGGAUGGGCCCGCGGCGCAUUAGCUAGUUGGUAGGGUAAAGGCUUACCAAGGCAAUGAUGCGUAGCCGAAUUGAGAGGUUGAUCGGCCACAUUGGGACUGUGACACGGCCCAAACUCCUACGGGAGGCAGCAGUAGGGAAUCUUCCACAAUGGGCGAAAGCCUGAUGGAGCAACGCCGCGUGGGUGAAGAAGGUCUUCGGAUCGUAAAACCCUGUUGUUAGAGAAGAAAGUGCGUGAGAGUAACUGUUCACGUUUCGACGGUAUCUAACCAGAAAGCCACUGCUAACUACGUG
rnacentral:rRNA from 1 species